rnacentral:rRNA from 2 species
AUUGAACGCUGGCGGUAGGCCUAACACAUGCAAGUCGAGCGGCAGCGGGUCCUUCGGGAUGCCGGCGAGCGGCGGACGGGUGAGUAAUGCCUAGGAAUCUGCCUGGUAGUGGGGGAUAACUCGGGGAAACUCGAGCUAAUACCGCAUACGUCCUACGGGAGAAAGCGGGGGAUCUUCGGACCUCGCGCUACCAGAUGAGCCUAGGUCGGAUUAGCUAGUUGGUGAGGUAAAGGCUCACCAAGGCGACGAUCCGUAGCUGGUCUGAGAGGAUGAUCAGCCACACUGGAACUGAGACACGGUCCAGACUCCUACGGGAGGCAGCAGUGGGGAAUAUUGGACAAUGGGCGAAAGCCUGAUCCAGCCAUGCCGCGUGUGUGAAGAAAGGUUCUUUCGGAUUGUAAAGCACUUUA